rnacentral:rRNA from 1 species
GACGAACGCUGGCGGCGUGCUUAACACAUGCAAGUCGAACGGAAAGGCCCUGCUUUUGUGGGGUGCUCGAGUGGCGAACGGGUGAGUAACACGUGAGUAACCUGCCCUUGACUUUGGGAUAACUUCAGGAAACUGGGGCUAAUACCGGAUAGGAGCUCCUGCUGCAUGGUGGGGGUUGGAAAGUUUCGGCGGUUGGGGAUGGAAUCGCGGCUUAUCAGCUUGUUGGUGGGGUAGUGGCUUACCAAGGCUUUGACGGGUAGCCGGCCUGAGAGGGUGACCGGCCACAUUGGGACGGAGAUACGGCCCAGACUCCUACGGGAGGCAGCAGUGGGGAAUAUUGCACAAUGGGCGGAAGCCUGAUGCAGCAACGCCGCGUGCGGGAUGACGGCCUUCGGGUUGUAAACCGCUUUCGCCUGUGACGAAGCGUGAGUGACGGUAAUGGGUAAAGAAGCACCGGCUAACUACGUG